rnacentral:rRNA from 1 species
CUAAUACCCAAUGAUAUCUCUAGAAGGCAUCUGAAAGAGAUUAAAGAUUUAUCGGUGAUGGAUGGGGAUGCGUCUGAUUAGCUUGUUGGCGGGGUAACGGCCCACCAAGGCAACGAUCAGUAGGGGUUCUGAGAGGAAGGUCCCCCACAUUGGAACUGAGACACGGUCCAAACUCCUACGGGAGGCAGCAGUGAGGAAUAUUGGUCAAUGGACGAGAGUCUGAACCAGCCAAGUAGCGUGCAGGAAGAUGGCCCUAUGGGUUGUAAACUGCUUUUAUAAGGGAAUAAAGUGAGUCUCGUGAGACUUUUUGCAUGUACCUUAUGAAUAAGGACCGGCUAAUUCCGUGCCAGCAGCCGCGGUAAUACGGAAGGUCCGGGCGUUAUCCGGAUUUAUUGGGUUUAAAGGGAGCGUAGGCCGGAGAUUAAGCGUGUUGUGAAAUGUAGAUGCUCAACAUCUGAACUGCAGCGCGAACUGGUUUCCUUGAGUACGCACAAAGUGGGCGGAAUUCGUGGUGUAGCGGUGAAAUGCUUAGAUAUCACGAAGAACUCCGAUUGCGAAGGCAGCUCACUGGAGCGCAACUGACGCUGAAGCUCGAAAGUGCGGGUAUCGAACAGGAUUAGAUACCCUGGUAGUCCGCACGGUAAAC